AGAGAACUCCUUCCAUACUAGGGCCUGGGUUAGAACAUUCUACUAUUUUCAGAAACAUCUCCAGGGCCUUUCUAGGAGGAUUUUUUUGUAGAUGAGUCAGAUUUCUUGUUCAGACUUACCAAGAAGAUAGAGACUGAGAGUCUUUGAAGAAACAAAUG